rnacentral:rRNA from 1 species
GACGAACGCUGGCGGCGUGCUUAACACAUGCAAGUCGAACGGAAAGGCCCUGCUUUUGUGGGGUGCUCGAGUGGCGAACGGGUGAGUAACACGUGAGUAACCUGCCCUUGACUUUGGGAUAACUUCAGGAAACUGGGGCUAAUACCGGAUAGGAGCUCCUGCUGCAUGGUGUGGGUUGGAAAGUUUCGGCGGUUGGGGAUGGACUCGCGGCUUAUCAGCUUGUUGGUGGGGUAGUGGCUUACCAAGGCUUUGACGGGUAGCCGGCCUGAGAGGGUGACCGGCCACAUUGGGACUGAGAUACGGCCCAGACUCCUACGGGAGGCAGCAGUGGGGAAUAUUGCACAAUGGGCGGAAGCCUGAUGCAGCAACGCCGCGUGCGGGAUGACGGCCUUCGGGUUGUAAACCGCUUUCGCCUGUGACGAAGCGUGAGUGACGGUAAUGGGUAAAGAAGCAACGGCUAACUACGUG